rnacentral:rRNA from 1 species
UGACGCUGAGGGACGAAAGCUAGGGGAGCGAAUGGGAUUAGAUACCCCAGUAGUCCUAGCCGUAAACGAUGGAGACUAGGUGUUGCCUGUAUCGACCCGGGCAGUGCCGAAGCCAACGCGUUAAGUCUCCCGCCUGGGGAGUACGCACGCAAGUGUGAAACUCAAAGGAAUUGACGGGGGCCCGCACAAGCGGUGGAGUAUGUGGUUUAAUUCGAUGCAACGCGAAGAACCUUACCAGGGCUUGACAUCCCGCGAAUCCCGGCGAAAGUUGGGAGUGCCUACGGGAGCGCGGAGACAGGUGGUGCAUGGCUGUCGUCAGCUCGUGUCGUGAGAUGUUGGGUUAAGUCCCGCAACGAGCGCAACCCUCGUCCUUAGUUGCCAGCCUUAAGUGGGGCACUCUAGGGAGACUGCCGGUGAUAAACCGGAGGAAGGUGGGGAUGACGUCAAGUCAUCAUGCCCCAUAUGUCCUGGGCGACACACGUACUACAAUGGUCGGGACAGCGAGCAGCCAACUCGCGAGAGUGAGCUAAUCUCUCAAACCCGGCCUCAGUUCAGAUUGCAGGCUGCAACUCGCCUGCAUGAAGGAGGAAUCGCUAGUAAUCGCAGGUCAGCAUACUGCGGUGAAUCCGUUCCCGGGCCUUGUACACACCGCCCGUCACACCAUGGAAGUCGGCCAUGCCCGAAGUCAUUACUCUAACCGUUCGCGGAGGAGGGUGCCGAAGGCAGGGCUGAUGACUGGGGUGAAGUCGUAACAAGGUAGCCGUACCGGAAGGUGUGGCUGGAUCACCU